rnacentral:rRNA from 1 species
AAUGAACGUUGGCGGCGUGGAUUAGGCAUGCAAGUCGAGCGAGAACCCGCAAGGGGGACAGCGGCAAACGGGGUAGGAAUGGUCGGUAACGUACCCUUCGGACGGGGAUAGCCACGGGAAACUGUGGGUAAUACCCGAUAACCUCCUUUCUUGUAACGGAGAGAGGAGCAAAGGUGAGAUUCCACCGGAGGAGCGGCUGACUUAGUAUUAGCUAGUUGGUGAGGUAAAAGCUUACCAAGGCAUCGAUGCUUAGGGGGUGUGAGAGCAUGGCCCCCACCACUGGGACUGAGAUACUGCCCAGACACCUACGGGUGGCUGCAGUCGAGGAUCUUCGGCAAUGGGCGCGAGCCUGACCGAGCGACGCCGCGUGUGGGAUGAAGGCCCUUGGGUUGUAAACCACUGUCAGGGGGGACGAAAUGCGCGCGGGUACUCCCGUGCGUUUGACAGGGCCCCAGAGGAAGCACGGGCUAAGUUCGUG